rnacentral:misc_RNA from 1 species
CGCACAUUGCGCCCCUCAGUAUUCUGGAGGGCAUACCUGUUCGAGCGUCAUUAUCCAUUAUCAAGCUAGGCUUGCUAUUGGGCUUGGAUCGUUAAGAGAUCCGCCUAAAAGAUAGAUGACGGGGUAAGGUUAAUACCCGAUGCAACGAGCUUUACAGCACGCGUCGGUUAAAGGCUUUACUCCAGUUUAACCAUCAUUUUUCAGAAGUUGACCUCGGAUCAGGUAGGAUUACCCGCUGAACUUAA